GAUGAACGCUGGCGGCGUGCCUAACACAUGCAAGUCGAGCGAACAGACCCGGAGCUUGCUCCUCUGUCGUUUGCGGCGGACGGGUGAGUAACACGUGGAUAACCUCCCUAUAAGUCUGGGAUAACUUCGGGAAACCGGCGCUAAUACCGGAUAAUAUAUUGAACCACAUUGUUCAAUAGUGAAAGACGGUUUUUGUGUCUCUUAUAGAUGGAUCCCCGCCGCAUUAGCUAGUUGGUAAGGUAAAGGCUUACCAAGGCAACGAGGCGUAGCCGACCUGAGAGGGUGAUCGGCCACACUGGAACUGAGACACGGUCCAGACUCCUACGGGAGGCAGCAGUAGGGAAUCUUCCGCAAUGGGCGAAAGCCUGACGGAGCAACGCCGCGUGAGUGAUGAAGGUCUUCGGAUCGUAAAACUCUGUUAUUAGGGAAGAACAAAUGUGUAAGUAACUAUGCACGUCUUGACGGUACCUAAUCAGAAAGCCACGGCUAACUACGUG
rnacentral:rRNA from 1 species